ensembl:miRNA
AUGUAUUUUUUACUCUAAGUGAGCACACAGCUUCAACCACAGGAGGUUGUGUGUUUAUUCUUUCUAAUGUCUCUGCAU